GUUGUCGUCAGCUCGUGUCGUGAGAUGUUGGGUUAAGUCCCGCAACGAGCGCAACCCUUAAGCUUAGUUGCCAUCAUUAAGUUGGGCACUCUAAGUUGACUGCCGGUGACAAACCGGAGGAAGGUGGGGAUGACGUCAAAUCAUCAUGCCCCUUAUGAUUUGGGCUACACACGUGCUACAAUGGACAAUACAAAGGGCAGCGAAACCGCGAGGUCAAGCAAAUCCCAUAAAGUUGUUCUCAGUUCGGAUUGUAGUCUGCAACUCGACUACAUGAAGCUGGAAUCGCUAGUAAUCGUAGAUCAGC
rnacentral:rRNA from 1 species